CCCCUAGAUGUUCUGGGCCGCACGCGCGCUACACUGAACAGUUCAACAAGUCUUAACCUUGGCCGAUAGGUCUGGGUAAUCUUUGAACGCUGUUCGUGAUUGGGAUAGACCUUUGCAAUUAUGGGUCUUCAACGAGGAAUUCCUAGUAAACGCAAGUCAUCAGCUUGCAUUGAUUACGUCCCUGCCCUUUGUACACACCGCCUGUCGCACCUACCGAUUGAAUGGUCCGGUGAAAUCUCGGGACGGCGGCUUGGUCGCUUGCGUCCGACUGCUGAAACUUGAUUAAACCAUAUCAUUUAGAGGAAGGUGAAGUCGUANCA
rnacentral:rRNA from 1 species